rnacentral:pre_miRNA from 1 species
UUAACUCAAAUUUGUAUGGAAUUGGAACGUUGGCCGUUGUUUCAACGGCAUACAAAUUUGAAUUA